rnacentral:rRNA from 1 species
CAGUAGCCACGGUAAUACAGAGGGUGCAAGCGUUAAUCGGAAUUACUGGGCGUAAAGCGCGCGUAGGUGGUUUGUUAAGUCUGUUGUGAAAGCCCCGGGCUCAACCUGGGAAUGGCAAUGGAUACUGGCGAGCUAGAGUGUGUCAGAGGAUGGUGGAAUUCCCGGUGUAGCGGUGAAAUGCGUAGAGAUCGGGAGGAACAUCAGUGGCGAAGGCGGCCAUCUGGGACAACACUGACGCUGAGGCACGAAAGCGUGGGGAGCAAACAGGAUUAGAUACCCGGGUAGUCCCUGUCUCUUAUAC